rnacentral:rRNA from 2 species
GGUUAAGCGACUAAGCGUACACGGUGGAUGCCCUGGCAGUCAGAGGCGAUGAAGGACGUGCUAAUCUGCGAUAAGCGCCGGUAAGGUGAUAUGAACCGUUAUAACCGGCGAUUUCCGAAUGGGGAAACCCAGUGUGAUUCGUCACACUAUCAUUAACUGAAUCCAUAGGUUAAUGAGGCGAACCGGGGGAACUGAAACAUCUAAGUACCCCGAGGAAAAGAAAUCAACCGAGAUUCCCCCAGUAGCGGCGAGCGAACGGGGAGGAGCCCAGAGCCUGAAUCAGCAUGUGUGUUAGUGGAAGCGUCUGGAAAGGCGCGCGAUACAGGGUGACAGCCCCGUACACAAAAGCGCAUGUGCUGUGAGCUCGAUGAGUAGGGCGGGACACGUGGUAUCCUGUCUGAAUAUGGGGGGACCAUCCUCCAAGGCUAAAUACUCCUGACUGACCGAUAGUGAACCAGUACCGUGAGGGAAAGGCGAAAAGAACCCCGGCGAGGGGAGUGAAAAAGAACCUGAAACCGUGUACGUACAAGCAGUGGGAGCACAGGUUUACCUGUGUGACUGCGUACCUUUUGUAUAAUGGGUCAGCGACUUAUAUUCUGUAGCAAGGUUAACCGUAUAGGGGAGCCGUAGGGAAACCGAGUCUUAACCGGGCGUUAAGUUGCAGGGUAUAGACCCGAAACCCGGUGAUCUAGCCAUGGGCAGGUUGAAGGUUGGGUAACACUAACUGGAGGACCGAACCGACUAAUGUUGAAAAAUUAGCGGAUGACCUGUGGCUGGGGGUGAAAGGCCAAUCAAACCGGGAGAUAGCUGGUUCUCCCCGAAAGCUAUUUAGGUAGCGCCUCGUGAAUUCAUCUCCGGGGGUAGAGCACUGUUUCGGCUAGGGGGCCAUCCCGGCUUACCAACCCGAUGCAAACUGCGAAUACCGGAGAAUGUUAUCACGGGAGACACACGGCGGGUGCUAACGUCCGUCGUGAAGAGGGAAACAACCCAGACCGCCAGCUAAGGUCCCAAAGUCAUGGUUAAGUGGGAAACGAUGUGGGAAGGCCCAGACAGCCAGGAUGUUGGCUUAGAAGCAGCCAUCAUUUAAAGAAAGCGUAAUAGCUCACUGGUCGAGUCGGCCUGCGCGGAAGAUGUAACGGGGCUAAACCAUGCACCGAAGCUGCGGCAGCGAACGUAUCACUUAAAGCGAUUCAGCGGGUUACGAUUGACGGAGCGAAGCGACGUCAAAGCGUAUACAAAGUCGAGUCGGUUUAAGGAUACGUUCGUUGGGUAGGGGAGCGUUCUGUAAGCCCGUGAAGGUGGCCUGUGAGGGUUGCUGGAGGUAUCAGAAGUGCGAAUGCUGACAUAAGUAACGAUAAAGCGGGUGAAAAGCCCGCUCGCCGGAAGACCAAGGGUUCCUGUCCAACGUUAAUCGGGGCAGGGUGAGUCGACCCCUAAGGCGAGGCCGAAAGGCGUAGUCGAUGGGAAACGGGUUAAUAUUCCCGUACUUGGUGUUACUGCGAAGGGGGGACGGAGAAGGCUAUGUUGGCCGGGCGACGGUUGUCCCGGUUUAAGCGUGUAGGUGUGUGUUCCAGGUAAAUCCGGUUCACUUUAACACUGAGGCGUGACGACGAGGCACUACGGUGCUGAAGCAACAAAUGCCCUGCUUCCAGGAAAAGCCUCUAAGCAUCAGGUAACACGAAAUCGUACCCCAAACCGACACAGGUGGUCAGGUAGAGAAUACCAAGGCGCUUGAGAGAACUCGGGUGAAGGAACUAGGCAAAAUGGUGCCGUAACUUCGGGAGAAGGCACGCUGACACGUAGGUGAAGUGAUUUACUCAUGGAGCUGAAGUCAGUCGAAGAUACCAGCUGGCUGCAACUGUUUAUUAAAAACACAGCACUGUGCAAACACGAAAGUGGACGUAUACGGUGUGACGCCUGCCCGGUGCCGGAAGGUUAAUUGAUGGGGUCAGCGCAAGCGAAGCUCCUGAUCGAAGCCCCGGUAAACGGCGGCCGUAACUAUAACGGUCCUAAGGUAGCGAAAUUCCUUGUCGGGUAAGUUCCGACCUGCACGAAUGGCGUAAUGAUGGCCAGGCUGUCUCCACCCGAGACUCAGUGAAAUUGAACUCGCUGUGAAGAUGCAGUGUACCCGCGGCAAGACGGAAAGACCCCGUGAACCUUUACUAUAGCUUGACACUGAACAUUGAGCCUUGAUGUGUAGGAUAGGUGGGAGGCUUUGAAGUGUGGACGCCAGUCUGCAUGGAGCCGACCUUGAAAUACCACCCUUUAAUGUUUGAUGUUCUAACGUGGACCCGUAAUCCGGGUUGCGGACAGUGUCUGGUGGGUAGUUUGACUGGGGCGGUCUCCUCCUAAAGAGUAACGGAGGAGCACGAAGGUUGGCUAAUCCUGGUCGGACAUCAGGAGGUUAGUGCAAUGGCAUAAGCCAGCUUGACUGCGAGCGUGACGGCGCGAGCAGGUGCGAAAGCAGGUCAUAGUGAUCCGGUGGUUCUGAAUGGAAGGGCCAUCGCUCAACGGAUAAAAGGUACUCCGGGGAUAACAGGCUGAUACCGCCCAAGAGUUCAUAUCGACGGCGGUGUUUGGCACCUCGAUGUCGGCUCAUCACAUCCUGGGGCUGAAGUAGGUCCCAAGGGUAUGGCUGUUCGCCAUUUAAAGUGGUACGCGAGCUGGGUUUAGAACGUCGUGAGACAGUUCGGUCCCUAUCUGCCGUGGGCGCUGGAGAACUGAGGGGGGCUGCUCCUAGUACGAGAGGACCGGAGUGGACGCAUCACUGGUGUUCGGGUUGUCAUGCCAAUGGCACUGCCCGGUAGCUAAAUGCGGAAGAGAUAAGUGCUGAAAGCAUCUAAGCACGAAACUUGCCCCGAGAUGAGUUCUCCCUGAGACUUAGAGUCUCCUGAAGGAACGUUGAAGACGACGACGUUGAUAGGCCGGGUGUGUAAGCGCAGCGAUGCGUUGAGCUAACCGGUACUAAUGAACCGUGAGGCUUAACCUU